UGGGGAAUAUUGCACAAUGGACGGAAGUCUGAUGCAGCGACGCCGCGUGAGGGAUGACGGCCUUCGGGUUGUAAACCUCUUUCGGCAGGGACGAAGCGCAAGUGACGGUACCUGCAGAAGAAGCGCCGGCCAACUACGUGCCAGCAGCCGCGGUAAGACGUAGGGCGCAAGCGUUGUCCGGAUUUAUUGGGCGUAAAGAGCUCGUAGGCGGCUCAUUGCGUCAACCGUGAAAUCCUGCUGCUCAACGGCAGGUCUGCGGUUGAUACGGGUGGGCUGGAGUUCGGUAGGGGAGACUGGAAUUCCUGGUGUAGCGGUGAAAUGCGCAGAUAUCAGGAGGAACACCGGUGGCGAAGGCGGGUCUCUGGGCCGAUACUGACGCUGAGGAGCGAAAGCGUGGGGAGCGAACAGG
rnacentral:rRNA from 1 species